AUUGAACGCUGGCGGCAGGCCUAACACAUGCAAGUCGAGCGGAUGAAGGGAGCUUGCUCCUGGAUUCAGCGGCGGACGGGUGAGUAAUGCCUAGGAAUCUGCCUGGUAGUGGGGGAUAACGUCCGGAAACGGGCGCUAAUACCGCAUCCGUCCUGAGGGAGAAAGUGGGGGAUCUUCGGACCUCACGCUAUCAGCUGAGCCUAGGUCGGAUUAGCUAGUUGGUGGGGUAAAGGCCUACCAAGGCGACGAUCCGUAACUGGUCUGAGAGGAUGAUCAGUCACACUGGAACUGAGACACGGUCCAGACUCCUACGGGAGGCAGCAGUGGGGAAUAUUGGACAAUGGGCGAAAGCCUGAUCCAGCCAUGCCGCGUGUGUGAAGAAGGUCUUCGGAUUGUAAAGCACUUUAAGUUGGGAGGAAGGGCAGUAAGUUAAUACCUUGCUGUAUUGACGUUACCAACAGAAUAAGCACCGGCUAACUUCGUG
rnacentral:rRNA from 1 species